AUGAAAGACAAUAUAUUGAUUCACAACUAUCCUUAUACCCAACAAGAGGACUUGGCCACAUCGAUACCCAAUGUUAUAAAGCAAUCACUGGGUGUCGAUGUUGAGUUUGUCCGCAUCCACAGGAACGGGGUCGGCCCACAGUUCAACGACAAACCGCCCGCACCCCUUACCUCCGCUAGAAAUAAACAUUUUGAUAAAGCGGAUUCAUUUCGCAAGCAGAACAUUAACGUUAAAGUUCAAAGAAACGAGAUAACAAUGCCAAAUAGUACGAAAUACGAGGAAGAGGUACCCCUUAUUUCCAGUGCGGAUGCCUUGCGAAUUUCCUCUGAGGAAUAUCAGUCCUUGGACGACGUUGUAGUUGUCUCUACGGAACCGGUGCAGAAAGACGGGUCUGAAUUUAUGGGGGUUGGUGCUAAUAUUCAGUCCUCGGACGAGGCCCUGAAUAUCUGCAGAAAAACAUCAAUAGACCCUUAUGCUGCAAGUUGCGACAGCAGAAUCCUCAUAUACAGGUUUCGCGACCAAAAUGGAAAAACUAUCGAAAAUUACCACGACGAUCGGGAACAUGGGGCAGGACGGAGAAUGCUAAGGUACCUCCAAGACAAUCGACGCUGCAAUUGUUUUGACGCGAUGGAUGGGGCGCUCGCACAUUGGCCCAGCCCGUUUUUCCAUCAUGGAAAACUUGGUUUUUGA
rnacentral:sRNA from 1 species